CAGGUCGACACUGAAUGAAUCACUCAGGCUGAAUAUUAAUCGUUCUUAUUAUUAAUAUUUAAAUCUGCUUAACUUGGAGGAAACUGCAGAAACAGGAUAUUUAAGGAUCUGAAGUAAUUUUGUUAUUGAGUUUAUCAGUGAGGACCAACACUGAGCAGGUUUUCUAAUGGCUCCCGAAGAAGAAGAGGAAGGUUUCAGUGAGCAUCAUGCAGACGGCUGGAUCGCUGGUUUCCUGUUCCCCUCUGUAUAUUUGUGUAGAGGGGGGAAAACUCCCACCGAAGGCCUGAAACAUUGUUGCACAAGGAUAGAAUUAUGUGUUGUUGUUUUUUUUCUGCUGUAAAGGUUGAACACAAGAGUCUUUGUGGCUGACUCACAGUAGAGGAACUGCAGGUUUGGUCAUUCUUCCGUUCAUGAGGUUUUCAUUAAUAAGAUAAGAUCACUGUUUAUUGCCAUUGCACAGUCAUGCUUAGCACAGUAGUACAACAGAAUUGGAAACUGUCCCACGCCGGCACAACUAAACACAACUAAACACAACACAGUAACUUAAAGUGGAUUUUUUAAAAGUGCAAUAAAAGGUUUGAGCAAGAAAAGGAAUCACUUAAUAAGUAAGUAAAAGAGUGAGUGAAUGUUUAUUGCGCAUUAUUAUUAUUAUUGUUAUUGUUAUUGCCCCCCAAAAAGUCCAGGGAGGUAGCCAAUCAGGUCAGCUGUUAGCACUGAUUAGGGCCAUUGCCCUGUUGUAAAAGCUGUCCUUGAGUCUGUUUGUCCGCGACCUCAGCAGCCUGAACCUCCUGCAGACAGCAGCAGCUUAAACACUCGGUGUCCUGGGUGUGUGCAGUCCCGUAGGAUGCUGCUGCAGCUAGGACUGCUCUGAUCCUACAGAUGAAUUUAAAAGAUCUCUGUGAAAGCAGCUCCAGGUGUUUCACCUUGAACUCAGUUCAGACUCAGUGUUAGAGGAUCGAAUAACCAAGCAGCCACCCUCAGGUCUUAAAAGUGAAGACAACAUGAAACAACCCAAAGUUGCAGUUCCUCUAUUGUCCACUUGAGGCUCGCUUCAGUCCCCACAGACUCCCAUGUUUUGGUCACAGU
ensembl:lncRNA